rnacentral:rRNA from 1 species
UGGGGAAUUUUGCACAAUGGGGGAAACCCUGAUGCAGCGACGCCGCGUGAUUUAGAAGGCCUUCGGGUUGUAAAAAUCUUUUCUAUGGGAAGAAAAUGACAGUACCAUAGGAAUAAGGACCGGCUAAUUACGUGCCAGCAGCCGCGGUAAUACGUAAGGUCCGAGCGUUGUCCGGAAUCAUUGGGCGUAAAGGGUACGUAGGCGGGUAAGCAAGUUAGAAGUGAAAUCCUGUAGCUCAACUACAGUAAGCUUUUAAAACUGCUCAUCUUGAGAUAUGGAAGGGAAAGUGGAAUUCCUAGUGUAGCGGUGAAAUGCGCAGAUAUUAGGAGGAAUACCGGUGGCGAAGGCGACUUUCUGGCCAUAAUCUGACGCUGAGGUACGAAAGCGUGGGGAGCGAACAGG